rnacentral:snRNA from 1 species
UGAGGAUAUUGCUCAGGC